UCGGAUCUAUUGACAACAAUGGACUUUGUUCGCACUUGUGUUCAGACAGUCCAAACACACACACGUCUGUACACGGUAGGUGUUUCACAGAAGUGCUUGUAUCCUCUUUGAUACUGUGUGUUCCCUGUGCUCUUGUCUUAGUCAUUUCUCUCUCUCAGUUACGUGUGCCUCUGCGUCUUCUACAUUUGAAAGGGAAACAAAGUGGGAUGGGGGGGGGGGGGUUAGAUAGAGAGAUAAUGUGAUGACUAACUUUAUGUUUUGUAGUAGCAAUGCUCCAAAAUGUAUUGGUUGUUUUUCUGUUUCCCCAGAUGCUCAACCUUGGACGACACUACAGAUAUCUUCUAGGCCUAAUCUGACCUAUCCUGAGGGGUCUAUUGUAAUCUUGCAAGAUCAAAGAUUGAGCUGGACAGCCCUGCACUGUAGUUACACAUCACAAAAUCAGUCUGUUAAUUCCUGUCUAUUCCGGACUAGAUCUGACCUUGACUCAUACAUGCUGUGCCCAUGUUACAGGAUUAAGAUGCUGUGUCCAUGUUACAGGAUUAAUACACAUCUCUCACACCCAUAUUCAUAGCUUUCUCCUUUU